GAGAUGGGAAUACCCCUUUAAGGCUUAAAUUAAUGAUUCACUAGGGGGUUAAAAAUACAAUAGUGUUCCCUGAGUUGUGCGCCGACAAGAUUUACUACAGACACACGUUAAAAAUCUAAAAUAAGAAAAGUGACAUUUUUGGGAGAGUUAUUUCAAUUUUAACGUGACUGUUAGGAGGUUAAAAGAGUGCUGGAUCAAAUUUUUAUUUUGA